rnacentral:rRNA from 1 species
GUAGGUGGCAAGCGUUGUCCGGAAUUAUUGGGCGUAAAGCGCGCGCAGGUGGUUCUUUAAGUCUGAUGUGAAAGCCCCCGGCUCAACCGGGGAGGGUCAUUGGAAACUGGGGAACUUGAGUGCAGGAGAGGAAAGUGGAAUUCCACGUGUAGCGGUGAAAUGCGUAGAUAUGUGGAGGAACACCAGUGGCGAGGGCGACUUUCUGGCCUGUAACUGACACUGAGGCGCGAAAGCGUGGGGAGCAAACAGGGAUUAGAUACCCUGGUAGUCCACGCCGUAAACGAUGAGUGCUAAGUGUUGGGGGGGUUUCCCGCCCCUCAGUGCUGCAGCUAACGCAUUAAGCACUCCGCCUGGGGAGUACGGUCGCAAGACUG